UACGAGGGGGGCAAGCGUUGUUCGGAAUUAUUGGGCGUAAAGAGCGUGUAGGCGGCCAGACAGGUCCGUUGUGAAAACUCGAGGCUCAACCUCGAGAUGUCGAUGGAAACCGUCUGGCUAGAGUCCGGAAGAGGAGUGUGGAAUUCCUGGUGUAGCGGUGAAAUGCGCAGAUAUCAGGAAGGACACCUAUGGCGAAGGCAGCACUCUGGGACGGUACUGACGCUGAGACGCGAAAGCGUGGGGAGCGAACAGG
rnacentral:rRNA from 1 species